rnacentral:rRNA from 1 species
AGUGAACGCUGGCGGUAGGCCUAACACAUGCAAGUCGAACGGCAGCACAGUAAGAGCUUGCUCUUACGGGUGGCGAGUGGCGGACGGGUGAGGAAUACAUCGGAAUCUACUUUUUCGUGAGGGAUAACGUAGGGAAACUUACGCUAAUACCGCAUACGACCUACGGGUGAAAGCAGGGGAUCUUCGGACCUUGCGCGAUUGAAUGAGCCGAUGUCGGAUUAGCUAGUUGGCGGGGUAAAGGCCCACCAAGGCGACGAUCCGUAGCUGGUCUGAGAGGAUGAUCAGCCACACUGGAACUGAGACACGAUCCAGACUCCUACGGGAGGCAGCAGUGGGGAAUAUUGGACAAUGGGCGCAAGCCUGAUCCAGCCAUACCGCGUGGGUGAAGAAGGCCUUCGGGUUGUAGAGCCCUUUUGUUGGGAAAGAAAAGCAGCAGGUUAAUACCCCGCUGUUCUGACGGUACCCAAAGAAUAAGCACCGGCUAACUUCGUG